GACGUAGGGCGCGAGCGUUGUCCGGAUUUAUUGGGCGUAAAGAGCUCGUAGGCGGCUUGUCGCGUCGACUGUGAAAACCCGCGGCUCAACUGCGGGCCUGCAGCCGAUACGGGCAGGCUAGAGUUCGGUAGGGGAGACUGGAAUUCCUGGUGUAGCGGUGAAAUGCGCAGAUAUCAGGAGGAACACCGGUGGCGAAGGCGGAUCUCUGGGCCUUGCCUGACGCUGAGGCGCGAAAGCUAGGGGAGCGAACAGG
rnacentral:rRNA from 1 species